UUUAGGCUCACCUACAUCCAGAGUCUACUGAUUCCAGGCUUUAUGCAAUGGUUUAUACAAGUACCCAAGGUCAUUCCACUUCUGAUAAAUACUCAGUGUGUUGGUGAUGUCUUACCACAUGGUUACAAGACAUCUGCAAUACUCCACAAGACAGUUUCUGCAGCAGAAGGUCCUUAGAACACUGUCAUUAAGGGCUGAAAGGUGAAGAUACAUUAGAUAAGAAAAUAGCAGACAGGGGACCCUGAAGCACUUUAAGAAACCUCAAUCUGCAGGAAAUCCUCGUCGUGGCUCCAAUCAUCAGAAAACCUGUUCUUUACCACAGAUCUCAAUCCUUGCUUCCAAUAGAGGGAUUUAGAGGAGAAUUUUGUAAGCUCCUCCCACCUUGUAUCCUGAACCACCUUCAUCAGCACCCAUGCUGGAGCUUCUCCAAAUGCUCUUCUGAAUGAACGGUGAUCCCAGCUAAGACCGGCAUCCUUAUUUAUGCAAAGGAUCCCUUCCACUCUUGCAUAUACUUCAGUUUGGCUCCCCCCACCGCAGCUUGAAAAAAAGAGACUUUCCGUCGUGGCAUGGCUCAUGAAGUUAGUGGACACACCUGAGGCGCACGGCGUCCCUCAGGGAGCUGGGGGGCUAGACUCUCCCGGUGCUAUCAGUGAAGAAUCGCGAGAAGCCGUGAUAGUAAGAGCGCUUUCCCCAGCCUCAGAAGAAGGGUGCUGGCCACGGAGGAGGGAGGAGGCUCGCUGCUGAACGGAAAUUUGCUCAAGGUUAGUAGCCUGUUUGGUAUCUUUGGUUUGGGAGAACCUUUCUUUUCCUCGGUAAAAGCACUGUGCUCCCCAAAGUAGGGGAGUUGGUGCGCAGAGUGAAAAUAGGUAGAUGAGCUAAUGCAUUGAGCAGGCUGGUGUGAGCAAGUCUUAUCUGACCUCAGUCUGAGGAGGAAGAGAGGCUGGGUGAGCCCAAAAGAGAUGGGAAUGGAAGAGCCUUGUGUGUUUCUCCCC